GUAGGUGGCAAGCGUUGUCCGGAAUUAUUGGGCGUAAAGCGCGCGCAGGCGGGGUCCUUUAAGUCUGAUGUGAAAGCCCACGGGCUCAACCGUGGAGGGUCAUUGGAAACUGGGGGACUUGAGUACAGAAGAGGAAAGCGGAAUUCCAAGUGUAGCGGUGAAAUGCGUAGAGAUUUGGAGGAACACCAGUGGCGAAGGCGGCUUUCUGGUCUGUAACUGACGCUGAGGCGCGAAAGCGUGGGGAGCAAACAGGAUUAGAUACCCUGGUAGUCCACGCCGUAAACGAUGAGUGCUAAGUGUUAGGGGGUUUCCGCCCCUUAGUGCUGCAGCUAACGCAUUAAGCACUCCGCCUGGGGAGUACGGCCGCGAGGCUG
rnacentral:rRNA from 1 species